rnacentral:rRNA from 1 species
CUGGUCUUGACAUCCACAGAACUUUCCAGAGAUGGAUUGGUGCCUUCGGGAACUGUGAGACAGGUGCUGCAUGGCUGUCGUCAGCUCGUGUUGUGAAAUGUUGGGUUAAGUCCCGCAACGAGCGCAACCCUUAUCCUUUGUUGCCAGCGGUCCGGCCGGGAACUCAAAGGAGACUGCCAGUGAUAAACUGGAGGAAGGUGGGGAUGACGUCAAGUCAUCAUGGCCCUUACGACCAGGGCUACACACGUGCUACAAUGGCGCAUACAAAGAGAAGCGACCUCGCGAGAGCAAGCGGACCUCAUAAAGUGCGUCGUAGUCCGGAUUGGAGUCUGCAACUCGACUCCAUGAAGUCGGAAUCGCUAGUAAUCGUGGAUCAGAAUGCCACGGUGAAUACGUUCC